AUUGAACGCUGGCGGCAUGCCUUACACAUGCAAGCCGAACGGCAGCACGGGUUCUUGCCCCUGGUUGCGAGUGGCGAACGGGUGAUUAAUACAUCGGUCCAUGUCCUGUUGUGGGGGAUAGUCCGGCGAAAGCCGGAUUUAUCCCACAUACGCUCUACGAGAGAAAGGGGGGGCCCUUCGGCCCUCGCGCUAGAGGGUUGGCCGUUGGCUUUUUCUCUUGUUGGUGGGGUAAAGCCCUACCAAGGCAACGCUCAGUAGCUGGUCGGGGAGUACGACCGGCAAAACUGGAAUGGAGAAACGGCCAAGACUCCAAGGGGAGGAAGAAGUGGGAAAUUUUGGACAAUGGGCGAAAGCCUGAUCAAGCAAGGCCGCGUGUGUGAAGAAGGCCUUCGGGUUGUAAAGCACUUUUGUCGGGAAAGAAAGCCUUGGCCCUAACACGGUCGGGGGAUGACGGUACAGGAAGAAUAAGCACGGGCUAACUACGU
rnacentral:rRNA from 1 species